rnacentral:lncRNA from 1 species
UUUUACAAAUCUACUCAAUUAAAAUGAAUAAUAAUAAAUAAAUAAAUGAAAGAAAUGAUUAUUAAUUACAAAAUAAAAGGACAAAACCUUUUUUGGAUAAAAUUUCUUUGUUUGUUUUUUAAUAGAAGUAAGAAAGUACUUUUUUUUAUUUAAUUAAAUAUUUACAAAAAUAAAAUAAGAUUGUUUUUUUCUUUUUUUUUAUAUAAUAAAAAUAAGAUUGUGAUUUUUCUUUUAUAAAUUAAACAAAGAUUUUUAAAAUAAAAGAAAAAUAAAAUAAAUAAAUAAAAGGAAAAAAGGGAGAAACAAU